CGUAACCCUACUCCCCAAACCAACAUAACUGCGUCCAAGAAGAAAGGAAAUGUUUUCAAUCACACGAAAGCUCUCACCCCUAACCCAACUGCGUCGUCCCCUUCCUCUCCCCUUUCCCCUCUCAUCCCCGACUUACAGCCUCACUCUCCCUCCUCCGCCGCCUUGCCCUCCGCCAAACUCCAUCUUAUCGCUCCUCCGACGUUUCUCAUCCCAACCCCCUUCCUCCCCUUCUCCAAUCUCUCUCGCUUUCAUCCGCGGCGGAUGCCAUGACGCCGUCCACCCCCAUUUCCCCCCUUUCUCUCUCCCCCUCCCCCUCUGCCCCGGCUGCGGUGUCCACAUGCAGGACUCCGACUCCUCUCUUCCCGGCUUCUUCUCCCGCCCCUCUACCAAAUCCCCCGAUUACCACGCCCCCAUCUUCCCCCUUCCACUCUCCUCCACCUCCGAUCCCGAAACAUCCCUCUCCCUCAAAUCCGGCCACCUCCAAGAGCUAUCGGAAGGAAAUCGCGACCAUCUUCCUGAAAAUUCCAGCUCCGAAGACUCCAAGCCGUUGGUUUGCGCUCGCUGCCACUCUCUUCGCCAUUACGGCCGGGUAAGGGAACCUUCCGCCGAGAACCUCCUCCCCGACUUCGACUUCGACCUCAUGGUCGCCCCCAAGAUGGCUUCCCCAUCCGGCCCGCGCUCCGUUGUCCUCUUCGUCGUCGAUGCGGCAGACUUUGACGGCUCCUUUCCCCGCAAAGUCGCUCGGCUUCUUUCACCCUCCAUUGACCGCAACGCCCUCGCCUGGAAGGAGAAUAAACCUGCCAACCUCCCCAGGAUCAUCCUGGUCGUUACAAAACUUGACUUAUUGCCUCCUUCCUUAUCCCCGGAGAUGCUCGACAACUGGGUGCGGCGGCGGGCGAAUACCUUGGGGGCGGCGAAGCUCGCUGGAUUGCAUCUCGUGAGCGCGGUAAGGGAUUGGGGAGUAAGGAAUCUGGUGGAGCAGGUGGCGGAGUUUGCUGGGCCGAGGGGAAAUGUGUGGGCUGUUGGAGCUCAGAAUGCUGGCAAAUCGACUCUGAUCAACGCCAUGGCGAGGUGUGUUGGGAGGAAGAUGACCCAGUUGACUGAGGCUCCUGUGCCGGGAACGACGUUGGGGAUUGUGAGGGUCGAGGGGGUGCUUUCCGGGCAGGCGAAGCUGUUUGAUACUCCCGGGAUACUUCAUCCCUACCAGAUCACAACGAGGUUGACCAGAGAGGAACAGAAGUUAGUUCAUAUAUGCAAGGAGCUUAAGCCAAGAACCUAUAGAAUUAUGGUAGGCCAUUCAGUUCAUAUUGGUGGGCUAAUGAGGCUUGAUGUGGAGGAAUCUUCUGCUGAUUCAAUUUAUCUUACAGUAUGGGCUUCACCCCUUCUUCCACUUCACAUGGGGAAGCAACAAAAUUCACAUAUAAUGAUGGAAGAUCACUUCGGUCGCCAGUUGCAGCCGCCCAUCGGCGCUAAUCGAGUCACCGAACUCGGUAAAUUGGCGAGAACUGAGUUCAGAGUGAGUGGGGAUAGCUGGGAUGAGAGCAAGACCGACAUUGCAGCUGCUGGACUCGGUUGGGUUGCUGUCUGUCUCAAGGGCGAAGCUUUGCUGUCUGUGUGGACGUAUGAUGGAAUCGAUGUCGUCUCACGGAGUUCGUUGAUCACGAAAAAAGCCAAAAUAUUCGAGGAAGCUGGGUUCACUGCUUCGAAGAUAGUCUCUAAGGCUGAUAGUAUUUUCAGCAAGGAAAGACAGAAUAGACCUGCUAAAAAGAAGAAUUUGCAGAAUAUGAAAUUGGGCUAAUGUGUCAUUAUUGAUGUUUGAUGCAGAGUUUGAAAGCUUAGUUGUUAUUCAGUUUGGAAUGCUGUGGAGCGAGGCUCAAGAAUGGAAAACUGCAAUUUUGUUAGGAUGAUUUAUUUACAUAGAUAGGGCUCAAUUCCUAUGUAUUUACACAAUCAAACAUCUGAACUUCAAUCUUUACAUGCAUAUGUAUGAAAAUUUGCAAUUUACUUUUUGAAAGUUAAAAUGGUAGUGUUUUAUGUGAUAGGAAAGACUUGAUUGAUAUAGAUGUGA